AUCUAGCUCACAAAAUUUUACAAUUUGAUCUAGGAGAACGUAUGCACUCGAGGAAAUGUAAAUUUUCGUUUCUUGGUCGAAUUGGCAAUGAUAAGUGAGAUAUGUCCAUUAAAACAAAAGUGCUAAGAAUAAAGAUCAAGGUUGUGUAAACAGAAAAUGAAACAUAACUAGAAACUGUGUGUGAAAAUUCUUAUGCAGUAGACGUAUUGUGUCGAGUGAUAUCUGGCUGGUCGUUUGUUUCUAGUUAGAUGUAUUGAAGCCUUCUGGGACAAGAAUAGUGAGAGCCAAGCCAUGUGAGAGAAAAUUCAUUCGCUGUUCAUAUAAUCAAUGUAACAUUCAAAAUAACAAGGGCUAUUGCUUAGACGUCUGACUUUCGAACAUCGUAACAGUUAUAGAUUCAGUAAAUACGGAUGUCCAGCAAAUGUAGGAGCAUGGCAAGUUGAUGCCCUCGCCACCUUGAGCGGUUCGGCUUAGUUUUACCGAGAGGAAAAGUGAUUGAAGUACUAAUUACCCGAAACCCGGCUUACCAACAGAAGUCAUUGUCUUCAUCUAAUAUUAUAAUAACAUGUCCUCGAUGUCGGAACAUAUUUACGUGCAGCAAUGGUGUGGAUAAAUUUCCGUCCUACAGGUAUGCCCUUCAUAUUGCCAAAAUGUCCAACAAAGCUGAGAGAGCUAAACAGUUGCAAAGAUCAUAAGCCUCUAUUACUGUAUACUUGCACUUGAUGGAUACCAACUAAUAAUUGUAAAUGUUUU